rnacentral:rRNA from 1 species
UUCCAGACUCCUACGGGAGGCAGCAGUGAGGAAUAUUGGUCAAUGGGCGGGAGCCUGAACCAGCCAUGCCGCGUGAAGGCGAGUGCCCUACGGGCGUUAAACUUCUUUUGUGCGGGAGCAAUAAGGGCCACGUGUGGCCCGAUGAGAGUACCGCACGAAUAAGCAUCGGCUAACCCCGUGCCAGCAGCCGCGGUAAUACGGAGGAUGCGAGCGUUAUCCGGAUUUAUUGGGUUUAAAGGGUGCGUAGGCGGGCUUUUAAGUCAGCGGUAAAAAUUCGGGGCUCAACCCCGUCCGGCCGUUGAAACUGGGGGCCUUGAGUGGGCGAGAAGAAGGCGGAAUGCGUGGUGUAGCGGUGAAAUGCAUAGAUAUCACGCAGAACCCCGAUUGCGAAGGCAGCCUUCCGGCGCCCUACUGACGCUGAGGCACGAAAGUGCGGGGAUCGAACAGGAUUAGAUACCCUCGUACAG